UACGUAGGGUGCGAGCGUUGUCCGGAAUUAUUGGGCGUAAAGAGCUUGUAGGCGGUUUGUCGCGUCUGCUGUGAAAAUCCGGGGCUCAACCCCGGACUUGCAGUGGGUACGGGCAGACUAGAGUGUGGUAGGGGAGACUGGAAUUCCUGGUGUAGCGGUGGAAUGCGCAGAUAUCGGGAAGAACACCCGUGGCGAAGGCGGCUCUCUGGGACGGUACUGACGCUGAGACGCGAAAGCGUGGGGAGCCGAACGAGG
rnacentral:rRNA from 1 species